GGGGUUGUGACUCAGUGGUAGAGUGCUUGCUUCGCACACAUGAGAUCCUGGGUUCGAUCCUCAGCACCCAUA
rnacentral:tRNA from 1 species